rnacentral:rRNA from 1 species
GGCCUUGCGCUCUUUGAGCGGCCGAUGUCAGAUUAGCUAGUUGGUGAGGUAACGGCUUACCAAGGCGACGAUCUGUAGCGGGUCUGAGAGGAUGAUCCGCCACACUGGAACUGAGACACGGUCCAGACUCCUACGGGAGGCAGCAGUGGGGAAUUUUGGACAAUGGGGGCAACCCUGAUCCAGCCAUGCCGCGUGAGUGAAGAAGGCCUUCGGGUUGUAAAGCUCUUUCGGCCGGGAAGAAAUCGCAUGGGCCAAUACCCUGUGUGGAUGACGGUACCGGAAUAAGAAGCACCGGCUAACUACGUGCCAGCAGCCGCGGUAAUACGUAGGGUGCGAGCGUUAAUCGGAAUUACUGGGCGUAAAGCGUGCGCAGGCGGUUUUGUAAGACAGGCGUGAAAUCCCCGGGCUCAACCUGGGAACUGCGUUUGUGACUGCAAGGCUAGAGUACGGCAGAGGGGGGUGGAAUCCCACGUGUAGCAGUGAAAUGCGUAGAGAUGUGGAGGAACACCAAUGGCGAAGGCAGCCCCCUGGGUCGAUACUGACGCUCAUGCACGAAAGCGUGGGUAGCAAACAGGAUUAGAUACCCUGGUAGUCCACGCCCUAAACUAUGUCAACUAGGUGUUGGGUGGGUAAAACCAUUUAGUACCGUAGCUAACGCGUGAAGUUGACCGCCUGGGGAGUACGGCCGCAAGGUUAAAACUCAAAGGAAUUGACGGGGACCCGCACAAGCGGUGGAUGAUGUGGAUUAAUUCGAUGCAACGCGAAAAACCUUACCUACCCUUGACAUGCCAGGAACUUGCCAGAGAUGGCUUGGUGCCCGAAAGGGAGCCUGGACACAGGUGCUGCAUGGCUGUCGUCAGCUCGUGUCGUGAGAUGUUGGGUUAAGUCCCGCAACGAGCGCAACCCUUGUCGUUAAUUGCCAUCAUUUAGUUGGGCACUUUAGCGAGACUGCCGGUGACAAACCGGAGGAAGGUGGGGAUGACGUCAAGUCCUCAUGGCCCUUAUGGGUAGGGCUUCACACGUCAUACAAUGGUCGGUACAAAGGGUCGCCAAGCCGCGAGGUGGAGCCAAUCCCAGAAAGCCGAUCGUAGUCCGGAUUGCAGGCUGCAACUCGCCUGCAUGAAGUCGGAAUCGCUAGUAAUCGUGGAUCAGCAUGUCACGGUGAAUACGUUCCCGGGUCUUGUACACACCGCCCGUCACACCAUGGGAGCGGGUUCCGCCAGAAGUAGGUAGCCUAACCGCAAGGAGGCAGGCGCCCACGGUAUGGCCGGUGAUUGGGGUGUAGUCGGAACAAGGUA